GUCUCAGCCUUGGGAAAGCAAGCUGUGGGAAUUCAGGUCCUUGUCUGGACAAGGUUGUGUGCUUCUUCCAAGACAGAGCUAGUGUGACGCUUCUUCUCUGUGUUUCACAGGUACUAGAUGACAAGAAUGUGCGUCGUCGCUUUCGGGCAAGUAACUACCAGAGCACCACCCGGGUCAAACCCUUCAUCUGCACCAUGCCCAUGCGGCUGGAUGACGGCUGGAACCAGAUUCAGUUCAACUUACUCGACUUCACGAGGCGAGCAUACGGCACCAAUUACAUUGAGACCCUCAGAGUGCAGAUCCAUGCAAAUUGUCGCAUCCGACGGGUUUACUUCUCAGACAGACUCUACUCAGAAGAUGAGCUGCCGGCAGAGUUCAAACUGUAUCUCCCAGUUCAGAACAAGGCAAAGCAAUAACUGGAAUUGUGACUCAAGGGAUAGACCCUGGAUGUGACUCUUCUUUUUAAAAGGAAACUAUGUG
rnacentral:sRNA from 1 species